UUGUGUAGAGGCCUUGAGAUGGGAAGGAGCUUGGUGUCACCAGGUGCAGUGACACCCCCAGUCUGUGGCUACCUCAAAAAAGUGGGGGUCCGCAAUCAUUGCUUCAGUGCAUUUUUAUUGUGCGCCUGCUAUGGAAACACAGGAACAAGAAGCAGGAGGAUGUCCCAUACCAUAUCAGCUCAAGAAGGAACGGUGCUGUGUGGAAGACCCUGCUGGUGGCAGUGGCACUCCUCCCAGUAGGACAGUUGGGGACAUGCUCUGUGAGGAAGUGACCCAAAGAGAGGGAGCUAGGCAGUUACCCCAGGCCCCUCGGCCCAGGCGGCAAGUCCCUGGACCACCGUUUGGUCACCAGGCUCUGUGCAGGGAGGGGGAUCCCGUGGCAGGCAGACCUGACCAGGGCCCCUACCUACUCCCUCCAGGGAGCGAGGCCCUGAGCACACACCUGCGUCCUCCCUGCUGACGCCGGCCGGGCCUCCAGGCUCACUCGCUUGGGUCCCCAGCCUCCCAGGCAGUCAGUUGGGUGGGCCUCACAGACCCUCUCAGCCUCCUCCCAGCACCCUCCAGCAGAGAGCUGAGGUCCUGAGCAGGGAUGGGGCCUGGCUAAGGUCAUGGGUGAGGCCCCCACCUCUCUCUUUGUACCCUUCCACCAGGACGCAAGCCACCUGCUGCCACCCGGCGCAGCCAUGACCAUCACCUACACCAACCAGGUGGCCAACGUGCGCCUGGGCACCUUCUGCCGCCUGCUGCUCUGCUGGCGAGGCAGCAUCUACAAGCUGCUCUACGGGGAGUUCCUCAUCUUCCUGCUGUGCUACUACACGAUCCGAUACAUUUACAGGCGGGCCCUCAGCGAGACGCAGCAGGCGGUGUUUGAGAAGCUGAGCUUGUACUGCGACAGCUACAUCGAGCUCAUCCCCGUGUCCUUCGUGCUGGGCUUCUACGUGACGCUGGUCCUCACGCGCUGGUGGAACCAGUACGAGAACGUGCCGUGGCCCGACCGCCUCAUGAGCCAGGUGUCGGCCUACGUGGAGGGCAGAGACGAGCACGGCCGGAUGCUGCGGCGCACGCUCAUGCGCUACGCCAUACUGGGUCACGUCAUCAUCCUGCGCAGCGUCAGCACCGCGGUCUACAAGCGCUUCCCCAGCCUGCAGCACCUGGUGCAAGCCGGCUUUAUGACUCCCGGGGAGUACAAGAAGCUGGAGCAGCUGAGCCUCCCCCAUAACAUGUUUUGGGUGCCCUGGGUAUGGUUUGGCAACCUGGCCAUGCAGGCCUUGCACGAAGGCCGGAUCCGCGACCCGGUGCUGCUGCAGAGCCUGCUGAACGAGAUGAGCAUCCUACGCACUCAAUGUGGAGUCCUGUAUGCCUACGACUGGAUCAGUAUCCCGCUGGUGUACACACAGGUGGUGACCGUGGCGGUGUACAGCUUCUUCCUGGCCUGCCUGCUGGGCCGGCAGUUUCUGAUCCCGGAGAAGGCCUAUCGGGGCCACGAGAUGGACCUGGUUGUGCCCAUCUUGACGUUCCUGCAGUUCUUCUUCUACAUGGGCUGGCUGAAGGUGGCAGAGCAGCUCAUCAACCCCUUCGGAGAGGAUGAUGAUGACUUCGAGAUCAACUGGAUCCUGGAUAGGAACCUGCAGGUGUCCCUGCUGUCCGUGGAUGAGAUGCACCAGAACCUGCCCCCGCUGGAGCGGGACAUGUACUGGAACGAGAUGGAGCCCCAGCCGCCCUACACAGUCGCAGCCUCACAGUCCCGCCGCACCUCCUUCCUGGGCUCCACCUUUAACAUCAGCCUGCCGCUGGAAGACAUGGAGUUCCAGCCGAUCCAGGAGGAGAGUGAGACCCACCAGGAGGUCAUCGACCGCUUCCUUGGGCAGCAGAUCUGCGAGUACUCUUCGCGGAGGCUGCCUCACACCAAGAAGAAGCCUUUCCGCCCCUACAGCUGGGUCAGGGGCACCCCGCAACACCAAGGGGCCCAGGAAGAUGGCAAGCUCCGGUCCACGGAUGCCUUCAAGGUGGCCCCCCUGUACGAGACGCCUGGCUACCACAGCGCCCCGCAGACGCCCCUCAGCCGCUCCCCCACCGUCUUCCCCGAACUGUUCGAACCCCAUACACCUCACACCUCGAGCACAGAUGCCAAAGACCAGAGCCUGAAGCCAGCAGGGUCUGCGCCCAACAUUUAUGAGCUGCUCCCAACCAGUGACAGUGCCUUGGGGCCCCCGGAGGCCCAUCCUGCAAAGAGGAGCACAGACCUGAUGGAUCCGCCGGAGGCCCCCAGAGGUUACCUCCCAGAGCCACAUACGGAGCAGUCACCUAGCAGCCUGUACUCUACACCCAGGGAGCUGUCGGACCCCUACUGGACCUUGGAAAACAGGGACAGCACCCGCUCCUGACCCAUCUCAGGAAGACGUGUCACCAGCCUGGUCCUCGCCUGCGCGUACACCGCCGGGACACUGGUCCAGUCGUAGCUACACAGCUGUCCACACCAGAGUUCGUUCCUGUGACAGCCUGAACGGUUAGCUUAGCAGGUGUUCUACUUUGAUUAGUGUGACCACUACUCAGCUAGUCCGUUUAGGAAUUUGAAAGACGACUGAGGAAGAUUUCUGCCACAUCCCAACCAGAAGACAACAGCUGGGUACCAAAUUUCUUUAUUUGAAGGAAUUAAAGAACUUGAGUAGGUGUUCUGAUACAAUUCAUAGAAAAGGUAAAGGUAACCCCAGCAUGCAUGUGCUGCCUUAGUGAUGUUAGCUCUUGUCACUGUCCCCCAGGGUAUGCUUGUCAAAGAGGUACUCUGCCAUGCCGGACUCGGGGGCUCCCAUCUUGCGCAGGUUG